ensembl:rRNA 5S_rRNA 5S ribosomal RNA
AUCUACAGCCAUACCACCCUGAAUGUACCUGACCUCAGAGGCUAAGCAGGGUUGGGCCUGGUUAGUACUUAGACGGGAGACAAUUCGGGUAGUCAUCAAUC